rnacentral:lncRNA from 1 species
CCCAGCCUCCCCGAGUCCCUGGUAGCCCCGUGUGGCUGUGUGCCAACUCAGUCUGGCCUGCUGGGUGCCCCCCAUCCCUACCCAGUUGACCCUCCCAUGGGGGCCCUCCUGACCGGGCAGCCCAUGCCCCCAUCUCCCCACUGCCGGCCUCCAUGCAGGUGCAGAAGGUCAGCCUCAACCCCGCCUGCCGGCCCCACCCGAGCUUCACUUCCUGUCUGGUGCCCCCUGCGGAGCCCCUCCCUGACACAGCCCAGCCUGCGGUGAUGGAGACACCCGUGGGUGAUGCAGACGCAAGCGAGGGUUUCUCUUCCCCUCCCAGUUCGCUGACCUCGCCCUCCACGCCCUCCAGCCUGGGGCCCUCACUCUCCAGCACCAGUGGCAUCGGGACCAGCCCCAGUUUGAGGUCGCUGCAGAGCCUGCUGGGCCCCAGUUCCAAGUUCCGCCAUGCUCAGGGCACUGUCCUGCACCGAGACAGCCACAUCACCAACCUCAAGGGGCUCAACCUCACCACACCUGGUGAGAGUGACGGCUUCUGUGCCAACAAGCUGCGUGUGGCCGUGCCGCUGCUCAGCAGCGGGGGACAGGUGGCUGUGCUUGAGGUGAGGGCCCCACCCCACCAGGGCUGCCCCUCAGUUCCCUGCCUGUGGCAAAGACGCGGAGGGCCUUAGCUACCCACACAACACAGGGAGCACAAACCUUGUGUCAGGCUCCUGCCCGCCUGUCCUGUGAUCCUCCCAGCCACCUGCCAUGGGGCCUGCCACUUUUAUCCCCAUUUUACAGAUGAGGGAGAAGAGGCACAGAGAGGUUUAGUGACCUGCCCGGGUCACACAGCUGUGUAAGUGGUGGAGCUGGGAUCCGAAGCCCGGCCACCUGAGCCCUAAGCCGGAGCUUUUCCCGCCAGUUCACGCUGCUGCCCCCUCACUCUCUGGGGCCU